UUCUCAGAGUCAACCAAAGCUGCCAGAAAGGGUUACUGCACCUCUGACUAAGGUCCAGGUGUCAAAUGUCGAAAACCUAAAGACAUUUGUCGUUAAGCCAAGAAAUAAGGUAAAAGGGGGAUUAUUUAUUACAAAAUCUCAGAUUAACAUCUUGAUACACUGAUUUACCAUAAUAAUAAAUAGAGUCAAUGCUGACUCCGCCGUGGGAAGAGCCGCUUCUUUCUUGCUUGAUAGGGGGGGCUUCCAUUCACCAGCGCAGACUAAAAGUGCUCUCCGAACCGUGCUGGAUAGUCA
rnacentral:lncRNA from 1 species